rnacentral:rRNA from 1 species
UACGUAGGCAGCAAGCGUUGUUCGGAAUUACUGGGCGUAAAGCGUGUGUAGGCGGACUUCUAAGUACCUUGUGAAAUCCCACGGCUUACCCGUGGAACGGCUGGGUAUACUGGUUGUCUUGAGCCACUUAGGGGCUACCGGAACAAAUGGUGGAGCGGUGAAAUGCGUAGAUAUCAUUUGGAACGCCAAUGGUGAAAACAGGUAGCUGGGAGUGUGCUGACGCUGAGACACGAAAGCCAGGGGAGCGAACGGG